UGUGUGUGUGUGUGUGUGUGUGUGUGUGUGUGUGUAUGAGUACAGGUGCUUGCAGAGGCCAGAAUAAGACAUCAGAUUCCCUGGAGUCAGUACAGGAGGUUGUAAACUGCCAGUGUAGGUUCUAGGAACCAAACAGGGACCUGCUUUUAACUGCUGCAUUAUCAUCUCUCCAGCCUCCAACUAUAUCUCUAAUUGCUUGAAUGUAAGUAUCUUUGCUGAGCCUUUGCUACACAACUGGCCGACCUUAACAACUUCACAUGCAGUAUCUAAUGCUUGCUGUGUGUUGCAUAUUUCACAUACAUGCAUAGGGUUAGGGUUAGGGUUUGGAACAGAAAGACCCUUCAAAUACCCAUGCCAUAAAGGCUAGGACCCCACUAUAAUACUAUUGGGAGAUGGUGGGAUUUCUGAGAAGUGGGGCCUACUAGGCAGUUACACAUCAUUAAGAGUAUGUCGUGAAGGAGGUUAUGGAACAAUUAUUUCUUUCUCUUCAUCUCUUGUGUCCUAGUUAUGAGGUGUGAUAACUUAUGACAAGCCCCUAAGCAAGGAAGCUAACCCCCAAACUACAGACUGAAUCCCCAAAAACCGUGAGUCAAAAUAAACCUUCUGUUUUUCAAAAUGGGUUCAUUUUAGAUAUUUGUUAUACUAAGAAAAAGCAAGCAGAUUAUUUAGAAACUAUCAAUAAAAUGGAGGGUAACUCUCCCUCUUGAUAGAAAGGGUGAAGAUCAGAACUGAAAUUAACCUGUUGAACUCCCAAGCCUGGGCUGCUACUCACUUCUCUAAAAUGUUAUAGUUUGUGUUUUACUAAAGCCUUUCUCGUUUCCUAGUUUAGUGUGUCAUCCUUUAUUUUGUCAUCAAAACUUUGAAAGUAGAGCACCACGUCCCCCGAUCUUCUUCUGCUCACCGUCCUUGGGGACCCAGAGGUCCUGUUAACACCUCAUAAUAAAUUCCCCACCCCAGCACCAGCCAGAGCUUUUGGCUUCCACGGUUAGCUUGUGUGGCAGUCAACAAUCCCA
rnacentral:lncRNA from 1 species